CUGCUGCCUCCCGUAGGAGUUUGGGCCGUGUCUCAGUCCCAAUGUGGCCGGUCGCCCUCUCAGGUCGGCUACUGAUCGUCGGCUUGGUAGGCUUCUACCCCACCAACUACCUGAUCAGACGCGGGCCCAUCUUACACCACCUCAGUUUUUACCUCUGUACCAUGCGGUACUGGGGUCUUAUGCGGUAUUAGCAAUCAUUUCUAAUUGUUAUCCCCCUGUGUAAGGCAGGUUGCCCACGCGUUACUCACCCGUCCGCCGCUAAGU
rnacentral:rRNA from 1 species